rnacentral:rRNA from 1 species
GACGAACCGUGCGAACGUUAUUCGGAAUCACUGGGCUUAAAGCGCGUGUAGGCGGAAGGGCACGUCCGUUGCUGAAAUCCCCCGGCUCAACCGGGGAACGGGCGCGGAUACGACUCUUCUGGAGGGGCGUAGGGGGACCUGGAACUUCCGGUGGAGCGGUGAAAUGCGUUGAUAUCGGGAGGAACACCUGUGGCGAAAGCGGCUCACUGGACCAUAACUGACGCUGAUGCACGAAAGCUGGGGGAGCAAACAGG